GACAGAGGAUGCAAACGUUGCUCGGAUUUACUGGGCGUAAAGCGCGCGCAGGCGGUCCUGUAAGUCGGACGUGAAAGCCCGGGGCUCAACCUCGGAAGUGCGUCUGAUACUGCAGGACUGGAGUACUGGAGAGGAGAGCGGAAUUCCCGGUGUAGAGGUGAAAUUCGUAAGAUAUCGGGAGGAACACCAGUGGCGAAGGCGGCGAUCUGGGAAGGAUACUGACGCUGAGACGCGAAAGCGUGGGGAGCAAACAGG
rnacentral:rRNA from 1 species